rnacentral:rRNA from 1 species
CCUACGGGGUGCAGCAGUGAGGAAUAUUGGUCAAUGGGCGCGAGCCUGAACCAGCCAAGUCGCGUGAGGGAAGACGGUCCUAUGGAUUGUAAACCUCUUUUGUCGGGGAGCAAAAGACGCCACGCGUGGCGUUCCGAGAGUACCCGAAGAAAAAGCAUCGGCUAACUCCGUGCCAGCAGCCGCGGUAAUACGGAGGAUGCGAGCGUUAUCCGGAUUUAUUGGGUUUAAAGGGUGCGCAGGCGGAAGAUCAAGUCAGCGGUAAAAUUGAGAGGCUCAACCUGUUCGAGCCGUUGAAACUGGUUGUCUUGAGUGAGCGAGAAGUAGGCGGAAUGCGUGGUGUAGCGGUGAAAUGCAUAGAUAUCACGCAGAACUCCGAUUGCGAAGGCAGCAUACCGGCGCUCAACUGACGCUCAUGCACGAAAGUGUGGGUAUCGAACAGGAUUAGAUACCCGGGUAGUC